UCUGACUUAAGUUUUUCUCCUUCCAG
rnacentral:piRNA from 1 species